UCGAGAAUCUUUCGCAAUGGGCGCAAGCCUGACGAAGCGACGCCGUGUGAGCGAAGAAGGCCUUCGGGUUGUAAAGCUCUUUCGCUUGGGAACAAGAAAGGGAUACGAAUACUAUCCCGAUUUGAGGGUACUAGGUAAAGAAGCACCGGCUAACUCCGUGCCAGCAGCUGCGGUAAUACGGAGGGUGCAAGCAUUGAUCGGAAUUAUUGGGCGUAAAGGGCGCGUAGGCGGCCAGGUAAGUCAAAUGUGA
rnacentral:rRNA from 1 species